rnacentral:lncRNA from 1 species
GAAGUUUGACCCGCCUUAAAGGUUUGACCGCCUCAGACCGCCUGGGACCGCCUCAAACCGCCUCACAAGCAAAAAACCGAUUUUUCAAACCUUUACACUAAAAUCGUAAAGGUUUUGGACCGCCUCCGCCUCGGCGACCGAUUAAUCGGCCGCCUCGACCGAUUUUUAGAACACUGCUAAAUACAGAAGUAGCAGCAAGAGAGAAAGAAGCUAAAUAACCAAUUGAGAGAGCAUAUAUGAUUCAAUUAUAUUAUCAUAUAUACUUAGACAUGUGUGGCUAUAAAUGUUACAGCACAUUCA